rnacentral:rRNA from 1 species
UGGGGAAUUUUGGACAAUGGGGGAAACCCUGAUCCAGCCAUCCCGCGUGUGCGAUGAAGGCCUUCGGGUUGUAAAGCACUUUUGGCAGGAAAGAAACGCCAUGGGUUAAUACCCCGUGAAACUGACGGUACCUGCAGAAUAAGCACCGGCUAACUACGUGCCAGCAGCCGCGGUAAUACGUAGGGUGCAAGCGUUAAUCGGAAUUACUGGGCGUAAAGCGUGCGCAGGCGGUUCGGAAAGAAAGAUGUGAAAUCCCAGAGCUCAACUUUGGAACUGCAUUUUUGACUACCGGGCUAGAGUGUGUCAGAGGGAGGUGGAAUUCCGCGUGUAGCAGUGAAAUGCGUAGAUAUGCGGAGGAACACCGAUGGCGAAGGCAGCCUCCUGGGAUAACACUGACGCUCAUGCACGAAAGCGUGGGGAGCAAACAGG